rnacentral:lncRNA from 1 species
GACAAAGCACACUGGAAAGUCUCGUGGUGAUGUGUGGGGGCAGUCAACAGUCCCUGUAAGUUGCCGGGGUUUUACAAAUGGUAUCAGAGCCUAGCCUCUCCCAGUACGGUGUGGUUCGAGGACGAACCAGACGGAAGCUGGUGGGCAUGUGACACCCGGGCACUAACGAGGGCGGGGAGUGAUCGCCGGUGCAAGAAGCAUGGUGCAGGGGGCACGGACAAGGAGCGGCUCCUGGCAGGCUUCGAGUGGAAGGGGCACAUGGACGAAUCGAACAUACACCGGAAUGAGAGGGAUUUGGAGACUGUAUAGGUAUGGGACUAUACAGUUGAAGAAUAGCUUAAAGGAAUUGAUUUGGCUACCUAUAUCACCAAAAUGCAUUUACUUUUCGGAAGCCUAACCCAUAAGAACUUCAUGGUUAAGCGUGCUUAGCCUGGAGAAAUUUUGGGAUGGGUGACCUUCCGGGAAGUUUUCCCGGAAAGUGUGCGAGUGAGGACAAAGCACACUGGAAAGUCUCG